AUUGAACGCUGGCGGCAGGCCUAACACAUGCAAGUCGGACGGUAGCACAGAGGAGCUUGCUCCUCGGGUGACGAGUGGCGGACGGGUGAGUAAUGUCUGUGGAUCUGCCCGAUAGAGGGGGAUAACCACUGGAAACGGUGGCUAAUACCGCAUAACGUCGCAAGACCAAAGAGGGGGACCUUCGGGCCUCUCACUAUCGGAUGAACCCAGAUGGGAUUAGCUAGUAGGCGGGGUAACGGCCCACCUAGGCGACGAUCCCUAGCUGGUCUGAAGGGAUGACCAGCCACACUGGAACUGAGACACGGUCCAGGCUCCUACGGGAGGCAGCAGUGGGGAAUAUUGCACAAUGGGCGCAAGCCUGAUGCAGCCAUGCCGCGUGUAUGAAGAAGGCCUUCGGGUUGUAAAGUACUUUCAGCGGGGAGGAAGGCGAUGUGGUUAAUAACCGCAUUGAUUGACGUUACCCGCAGAAGAAGCACCGGCUAACUCCGUGCCAGCAGCCGCGGUAA
rnacentral:rRNA from 1 species